rnacentral:tRNA from 1 species
AUUACUUUGGCAGAAUAGUGCAAUGAAUUUAGGAUUCAUAUAUGUAGAUAGUACAGGUAAUA